rnacentral:tRNA from 1 species
GUGGGUGUAGCUCAGUUGGUUAGAGCGCCAGAUUGUGGCUCUGGAGGCCGAGGGUUCGAGCCCCUUCACUCACC